CACUAAAAAUAGCUCAUGAACCUUAAUUCUAUUAAACUAUUCAUACUGCUUAGAAUAAAACAUUUAAAAAUAACUAAAGUAUAGGCGAUAGAAAU
rnacentral:rRNA from 1 species